ensembl:lncRNA
ACUCUGGGCUGUCACCCACUUGACCGGGCGGUUAUACCGUGGACCGCUGGGAGGUGUAGUUUUGGGCUGGGAGCCACGCUCCCUGGCGCUCUGGCUCUGGUGGCGGAGAGACUACAAGUCCCAGGGGGCACAACGAGACCGCCUGGAGGGCGGGGGGUACGAAAGAGGAACUCGAAGGGCGCGGGGGUGAGUGAGGGGCCGGGGGCGGGGGGGGGCGGGCGCGGGGGCGGGCCAGGGGCUGGGGCGGCCCUCAGGGUGCGGCCCCCCGGCAAGGCUGCAGUGGCGGGGUGGGGCGGUGGCGCGAGGUCCGUCCGCUUUGCUCCUCCGCGGUCCGCGCCCCCGUCACCGGCUCCGGACGCCUCCGCCGCGCGGGAGGGCCAGCGAGUGGGUUUAUCGCCCCUAGUGUGUCCACUGUGGCUCAGCGGGGUCUGUGUGCGUUGUCAUCAGGACGAUUUAAUUGACGCUUAGUUUCCGUUUAUUUGAUACCGGGUUUCGGACGCGCGUCUCACAGCGUUUCAAGGCGCAGCGUUAGCGUUCGGGUUAACGCGCUCCUCGGAGGUUCCCGAGAGCCCAGGUGGCCCUUUUGUCCUGUUCCGGGGUCCCUGUGGCUCCGGGGGUAGAGCUGGGUCCCGUCCUUCUCCGCUCCUCCCAGUACCCCCACAGCAGUCUGUGUUAGCCGGAAUCUGAACCGCCACAGUGAUCUCACCAGCUCCUCGGAGGAAAUAAAACCCGGGUUUUCCGGAAAGUUUCUCCUGGCACAUGCGCGCCCCACCCCGCCGUGGGCGCUCCUCCCAAAGGCGGAGCGGCCGCGCCUCUAGGGGUCACCGGCACCCCGAGGGCGCUGCCGCCUCUCCUGUAUUGCCCAGUUCCGCGAGGUAAGCUGUGAUUUGUCCGGUAAUUCACUUGAAGAACGCCCUCUGGUCACCGCAUCACUGAGACUCCUGCGUCCCCAAGAUCAAGGACCCCCUCCAGCGAGUCUCCAGGGGUCCUCCGGCAGCACUGUCUCGGCGCUGCUGAGGCCACAGAGCGUGUCAGCAGCCUGGAAUGUUUUCUGUACAGCUGUCAGAUCGAGCCAUGUUCCGCCUCGGCGCCCUUUGCUUGCUGAGACGCUGAUGAGCGGUGGCCUCACUGAGGAGCUGGAGAUCCAGUGGGAGAAGCAAAAGCAAAGAUCAGCAACGUGAACUUUGAAGCGGUUGGCCCCCUGCCCCUCUCCGCUCUCCAGCCACAGCCGCGGGGAAGGUUGGCGAAGCGUGCAUUCCCACCGUGAUUCCCCGGGCAGGGCCUCCUGUUGGAAAGGCGUUCCUGAGGUUUUCUGGCCAGCACCCAACCCCAGUUGAUUGUUGUUGUUCAGUAGCUCAGUCAUAGCCGACUGUUUGUAAUCCCAUGAACUGCAGCACACCAGGCUUCUUUGUCCAUCACUAUCUCCCUGAGUUUGCUCAAACACAUUUCCAUUAAGUCAGUGAUGGCCAUCCAACCAUCUCAUCCUCUGUUGCCCCCUUCUCUUGCCCUCAGCUUUUCCCAGCAUCAGGAAAUUGAUGAGCCAGAAUAAUUCCCCUGGAUACCUGAAGUGUUACUUGUUCAGAAAUCACAGUGACUUCUUCCUUGAAACCAGUUCCUCUAAGGAAAAAUGAGUUGUGAAAGAAGACGUGGUACAAUUUAAAUUCUCACCGAAUUUUUAAUUACCUUGAACAAGUUUUUGUACCCAAUUCCUUAGCUUUUUGGCUAAGAUUUUCAAAAUUGAAAAUGAAUUGCAAUUAUUCAGUUCAUGAUUAAGUAUAAUUCACAUAAGUGAGGUGCAUAGAUUCAUUUGACCAAUUUUGACAAAUGUAUACAGCUGUGUAGCCAGCACAUUGUGGUGAUAGAGGGCACUUCUGUCAUCCCUAAAGCUUCCCUCGUGUCGGGUCCUCUGGAUUGUCAGGUGGAAGCCCUGAUCCCCAUGUGAUGGUGUCUACAGCUGGGCCCUUGGGG